GACAGAGGAUGCAAGCGUUAUCCGGAAUGAUUGGGCGUAAAGCGUCUGUAGGUGGCUUUUUAAGUCCGCCGUCAAAUCCCAGGGCUCAACCCUGGACAGGCGGUGGAAACUACCAAGCUGGAGUACGGUAGGGGCAGAGGGAAUUCCUGGUGUAGCGGUGAAAUGCGCAGAUAUCAGGAGGAACACCGGUGGCGAAGGCAGGAUCUCUGGGCCGUAACUGACGCUGAGGAGCGAAAGCGUGGGGAGCGAACAGGAUUAGAACCAUACCGUC
rnacentral:rRNA from 1 species